rnacentral:lncRNA from 1 species
CACGCCUCUCUUUUGUUUUAAGCACCUUUCAUCUGGGGUGCUCCUGGCUGCGGGAGGCUAAUGAGCUGCUUUCUGGGAAGAGUGCUCUUUCCUCCUACCCCACAACCCGGAGGCUAUUAACUCCAAGGCCUUAUUUUGCAUUCCGCUGAAGUUGGAGGGUCACCAAGCAGGCGUGUCCUUCUCAUCCAUCCCUCCAACAGGGCGCUGGUGGGCUAGGCUUGGACCAAAAAACCUCGGGGAUCGUCUAAUACAACUUAGCCCCACCUCCCAUCUUUCACAUGAGAGAACUGGGGAGGGAGGUGACUGUGCAAGAUGACAGACCCAAUGAGGAGACAGACGCCUCCUCGUUAAAGCACAAGGAAUAAAGCAGCGGCAGAGAGCGGCUGGUGCUCACCUCACCCACUCCCAUCAAGCUAGCAUGGGCACCAAGUGACAAGCAUCCUCCUAAGAGAAUACAGUUGUCUCUCCUUAUCGGAUCAUCUGAUUGGUUCCAGGAACCCCUGUGGAUACCAAACUCUGUGGUACUCAAGUCCCUUAAUAAAAUGGUACAGUACAAAUGGCUUCCAUUUGCCAGCCUGGCCCACCCAAGGAGCUGCCCCAGGGACAUUUGGGGGGGGUGGGAGUGCAUGCAGCAGGCUAGGAGCUGAGACUGGGGGCAGGAUGGGGUACUCCACCUGGCUGCCCUUCGAGGUGCUGGAAGCAGCAGAAGAGGCCAGGGAGGCCUCGCCUCUAGCGGCACAGCUCACACAUCACUGUAGUGACUCCAGAGCAGACGUACAGUAGGGGCUUAAAAAUGCUCAUUGAAGAAAAGGCUGUCAUCCUGGACCUGCAGCAGGGAGGAGAGGAAAUGUGGAAUCCACGGAUGGGGCGAUGCCUCACUUCUUCUCACCAUUGCUCAGCCAACCUGGAUCCAUCCAUUGUGGUUCUCCUUCAGGCCCUGCGCAGGGGCCUGAGCAAAUCCGGUUUGGGCAGCGAGAAGUUCGUGGGCCCCGGGCUGAGCUUCCUGCGGGUGGGACACCAUUCUUUGGCACUGAGAGAGGGGGCUAAGAGCUCAGUGUCCAGCUUCUCUCCUCUCCCUGGAAUGCUGCUCCUCUGAAGGGGCAGGUCUCUGGGCACCAGAUGCUUAGACCUGGGGGCUCUGACUCUCUGCCCCCAGCUCCGCCCCACCAGUCUCUGCUUCUACAUCCAUCUCAUUUGCUCUGCCUGCAGCCUCAGUCCCUCUGCAUCCUCCCCAGGAUCUCUUCCCUCCCCGUUCUGGCCUCAGC